rnacentral:rRNA from 1 species
UGAGUAACACGUGGGUAAUCUGCCCUGCACUUCUGGAUAAGCCUGGGAAACCGGGUCUAAUACCGGAUAUUCAGUUCCUGCCGCAUGGUGGGGGUUGGAAAGUUUUUCGGUGCAGGAUGAGCCCGCGGCCUAUCAGCUUGUUGGUGGGGUAAUGGCCUACCAAGGCGACGACGGGUAGCCGGCCUGAGAGGGUGAUCGGCCACACUGGGACUGAGACACGGCCCAGACUCCUACGGGAGGCAGCAGUGGGGAAUAUUGCACAAUGGGCGAAAGCCUGAUGCAGCGACGCCGCGUGGGGGAUGACGGUCUUCGGAUUGUAAACCCCUUUCAGUAGGGACGAAACGCAAGUGACGGUACCUGCAGAAGAAACACCGGCCAACUACGUGCCAGCAGCCGCGGUAAUACGUAGGGUGCGAGCGUUGUCCGGAAUUACUGGGCGUAAAGAGCUCGUAGGCGGUUUGUCGCGUCGUCCGUGAAAACUCGGAGCUUAACUCCGAGCUUGCGGGCGAUACGGGCAGACUUGAGUACUACAGGGGAGACUGGAAUUCCUGGUGUAUCGGUGAAAUGCGCACAUAUCACGAGGAACACCGGUGGCGAAAGCGGGUCUCUGGGUAGUAACUGACGCUGAGGAGCGAAAGCAUGGGUACGAACAGGAUUAUAUACCCUGGUAGUCCAUGCCGUAACGGUGGGCGCUAGGUGUGGGGUC